rnacentral:lncRNA from 1 species
UGCAGAAGGUGGCUAUGAGAAGAUCUUUAGACAAACUUUCGAGACUGUUCCAGAGGAGCAGCUUCUGAAAACAUUUGCAUGCUACCUAUCCACCUCAGCCGGACCGGUCAUGGGUGUUUUAUAUUUGUCGACAGCGAAGCUGGCAUUUUGUAGUGAUAACCCACUUUCUUACACUGCUGGUGAGCAGACACAAUGGAGCUAUUAUAAGGUCAGUAGCCAGAUUCUUGCUUCUAAUUAUUCACUAAUAUAAAACCAUCAUAAAUAUCUGUGAAUGGCUUUCCAAUUGAAGAAAAUGAUUUAAUGACAUACUCUAUGAAUGAGUAAAUACUUAUUAUUUAUGAUGGAAAUACUUAUUAUUUUUAUAGAAUUGAACAUAAAAUAGAAAGAGAAAAAUUCACCAUUCAUUUUCAAUUAUGUUAGACUUUUCAGAAAAAAAUAAUUCAAAUGAAGGGCAGAUGAUGUACUGAUUGUGCAUAAUUCUUUACACUGUUAGUGCAUCAAUAUUAUACUCAAAUAGAAAUACUUUCAUUCAAAUGCUGUAAUUGCAUCAUAGCAUAUUUCUAAAUAACAGCAAAAUUUAAUUAGACAUACUCAAUUCAGUAAUUAGAAUUGUCAGCUUCAGAGUUCUGGUAUGUUGCAGUUCUUGGAAUGACAAUUAUUUUAAAGCGCAGUUAGUCAUCGUACACCUGAAUUCUUAUAUCCCCCUAACCCUAUUUAUAUGUCAUGCUCUAGAAGGUUUCUCUGGUCCUUUUUAUAAGGCGUUUUAUACUUAAAAUGAACAGUUAAUUUUUCUUGCUAAUUUACCCCUAUUAGUGUUGCUCGAUUAAUGUAGUGGGUUGUAAAUUGUAGUGGGAAUGAUGGGAGUGAGACAAUGGAAUUAAUGGGAUAAUGUAGGAGUUAUUAAUAUGUCUUGAAAAUUAAAAAGGGUUAAAAUGUAAACGUUGUAGUAAUUUUUUUUAAAUUGGGGAAAUAUAUAACUUUAACUACUUGCCUUGGUCCGGGUAAUAAGGUUAAAGGCGUAAAGCCUACACCUACCUUGUGGGUCUGGCAAUUUCUACCCGCCUAAACCUGCAUGGGGGUUGGGUUUUGGUUAAUACACCCCACCCCACACCCCACAUAUUGAUUGACGUAAUCUUUAAUUUAGCUACUAAUCAAAAGUUAUUAUAUUGAUUGCCAAGCCUAUCAAUUGAGUCCCUUAGAUGGUCCCCAUAAUGGAGUCCACGGAAGUGGCUAGGUGGUGUGUGGAAUGCAAGGAUUUAACGAAGUUACCUUUUUUACAUUCAUUAAAGAUAAAUUAUACUACACUCAAAGAAACUGAAGUCUUUUACCAGUUCAUAGAAGGGAAGAGUUCUGCUCCAUGAUUUUAAUGACCUUUCAUAUGUUGAAUGGUUUCAGCACUCUUUCAGUCAAAUUCAUGUUUCUUAGGUGUUUUAAUCAAACAACUCAACACCAAAUCAUUUCAAUCCUUAUUUUUUUUAAGUUUGUCUGUUUUAAAGAAAGCAUUUGGUUAAGUUAAAGGAUGAAACUGUGACUUUGUAAUUUUCAUCUAUUUUCUCCCAUUACUAUAAGAUCCUAAGGAGAUUAAUCUCAUGCCAGCUUACUUGCUGAAAUCUCUAGCAAGUGUAGCUAAAGCUAGAACCUGAUUACCCAAGAUUGUGAUAUUUAUACUUCACUAAGUUCCCAUUUUUUAUCAUAUUUGUCUUUAGUGUUUGAGUUUUGAAAUACUUACAUGCAUGCUUUCCUUCUCAUGCAUUAGGUGGUCAUUCCACUGCACCAGUUGAGAACAGUAAACCCAUCAACAAGCAAAACCAACCCAUCCGAGAAAUAUAUACAGAUUAUAUCUGUUGAUAACCAUGAAUUUUGGUUUAUGGGCUUUGUUCACUAUGACAGUGCUGUCAAAAACAUUCAAGGAGCAUUGCAGCCUCACUGAUACGUAUGGGAUCAAAAAGCACUGUGUAUUAUAUCAAAUAUGAGGUUUAUGUUGAUAAAUCCUUCACAGAAACAUUUCAUGUUUUAGCUCUACUGUAUUGUGUAGUCCUAUGGGCUUUUGCAUGUGGAGCUGUUAUACUAUUGUUGAAACUCCUCUAGUGUUUGUUGUUAUAUGAAUUGAUGCAAAGUGAGAAGUGCUGUCUUGUAUUUAUUUUACAUUUGUGACUUCUUUGAAAGUGAGAUUCAGUUGAAUUGUUGUAAGUUGAAUGAAUAAAGACCACUGAUAUACUUCUAAUUUUCAUUUUCACUCUUUCUCUAAAAGGACAUGAAGUUGGGUGGUUUGAAUGUUCACCCUUGAAAGAAUGAGGCAAAAUUUACCAAAAAAGAUCAGCUAUUUCGUUCUCCUACAUAGUCUUAUGGGGUAACUCCAAAAUGAUGAAAAUAGGUGCAACACUGAAAAACUGUAGUAGACAACACGGAUUUGAGGCAAUCCGUGAAAACACAAACAUGGGUAAUACUUUGUGAAUUUCCACAGUAAAGUAUCAUUCUUCCAGCUUCUCCAUAAAGGAAUUCUUAGGAUAUAUCAGUUUCUGACCGCAGAAGCUAAGAGUUCACAAGGUGAGAAUUCCAGUCAUUAGCUUCAGGAAUUAAUAUUUCAUGCACGAAUUUCAAAUGGCUGGACCAGUUUUGACAUGUGAACACGACCAAAUAGGAAGUCUGGUAUCUUCUCAAAUCUUGAUUUUGCUGCCAUUGUUAACGUUCCAAGUGGUACAUAUACUUUGUAACCAGCUCCAAGACCUCACUUUGAUAACAUCUAAUAUACCCACCAUAUCAAAAUGCACUUGUCUAGAAAAUAACACCAUUCGGAGCUAUUCAGAGAAACCAAAGAAUACACAUCCAAAUCAUUCCCACUCUCUAUUGUUAUACUCAAAACCACUACCGCAGCUUCUGAAAACAUUUGCAUGCUACCUAUCCACCUCAGCCGGACCGGUCAUGGGUGUUUUAUAUUUGUCGACAGCGAAGCUGGCAUUUUGUAGUGAUAACCCACUUUCUUACACUGCUGGUGAGCAGACACAAUGGAGCUAUUAUAAGGUCAGUAGCCAGAUUCUUGCUUCUAAUUAUUCACUAAUAUAAAACCAUCAUAAAUAUCUGUGAAUGGCUUUCCAAUUGAAGAAAAUGAUUUAAUGACAUACUCUAUGAAUGAGUAAAUACUUAUUAUUUAUGAUGGAAAUACUUAUUAUUUUUAUAGAAUUGAACAUAAAAUAGAAAGAGAAAAAUUCACCAUUCAUUUUCAAUUAUGUUAGACUUUUCAGAAAAAAAUAAUUCAAAUGAAGGGCAGAUGAUGUACUGAUUGUGCAUAAUUCUUUACACUGUUAGUGCAUCAAUAUUAUACUCAAAUAGAAAUACUUUCAUUCAAAUGCUGUAAUUGCAUCAUAGCAUAUUUCUAAAUAACAGCAAAAUUUAAUUAGACAUACUCAAUUCAGUAAUUAGAAUUGUCAGCUUCAGAGUUCUGGUAUGUUGCAGUUCUUGGAAUGACAAUUAUUUUAAAGCGCAGUUAGUCAUCGUACACCUGAA